rnacentral:rRNA from 1 species
CCUACGGGAGGCAGCAGUGGGGAAUUUUGGACAAUGGGGGCAACCCUGAUCCAGCAAUGCCGCGUGAGUGAAGAAGGCCCUCGGGUUGUAAAGCUCUUUUGUCAGGGAAGAAACGGUGGUUCCUAAUACGAGCUGCUAAUGACGGUACCUGAAGAAUAAGCACCGGCUAACUACGUGCCAGCAGCCGCGGUAAUACGUAGGGUGCAAGCGUUAAUCGGAAUUACUGGGCGUAAAGCGUGCGCAGGCGGUUAUAUAAGACAGAGGUGAAAUCCCCGGGCUCAACCUGGGAACUGCCUUUGUGACUGUAUGGCUAGAGUGUGUCAGAGGGGGGUAGAAUUCCACGUGUAGCAGUGAAAUGCGUAGAUAUGUGGAGGAAUACCGAUGGCGAAGGCAGCCCCCUUGGGAUAACACUGACGCUCAUGCACGAAAGCGUGGGGAGCAAACAGGAUUAGAUACCCUGGUAGUCCACGCCCUAAACGAUGUCUACUAGUUGUCGGGACUUAAUUGUCUUGGUAACGCAGCUAACGCGUGAGUAGACCGCUGGGGAGUACGGUCGCAAGAUUAAAACCUUAAGGAAUUGAACGG